rnacentral:rRNA from 1 species
UGGGGAAUAUUGCACAAUGGGGGAAACCCUGAUGCAGCGACGCCGCGUGAACGAAGAAGGUAUUCGUAUCGUAAAGUUCUGUCCUAUGGGAAGAUAAUGACAGUACCAUAGAAGAAAGCUCCGGCUAAAUACGUGCCAGCAGCCGCGGUAAUACGUAUGGAGCGAGCGUUGUCCGGAAUUAUUGGGCGUAAAGGGUACGCAGGCGGUUUAAUAAGUCGAAUGUUAAAGAUCGGGGCUCAACCCCGCAAAGCAUUGGAAACUGAUGAACUUGAGUAGUGGAGAGGAAAGUGGAAUUCCUAGUGUAGUGGUGAAAUACGUAGAUAUUAGGAGGAAUACCAGUAGCGAAGGCGACUUUCUGGACACAAACUGACGCUGAGGUACGAAAGCGUGGGGAGCAAACAGG